UAGGGAAUAUUGGGCAAUGGAGGCAACUCUGACCCAGCCAUGCCGCGUGCAGGAUGAAGGCGUUAUGCGUUGUAAACUGCUUUUAUAUAGGAAGAAAUAGACCUUGCGAGGUAAGUUGACGGUACUACAUGAAUAAGCACCGGCUAACUCCGUGCCAGCAGCCGCGGUAAUACGGAGGGUGCAAGCGUUGUCCGGAUUUAUUGGGUUUAAAGGGUGCGUAGGCGGUUUAUUAAGUCAGUGGUGAAAGACGGUCGCUCAACGAUUGCAGUGCCAUUGAUACUGGUAGACUUGAGUGGGAUUGAGGUAGCUGGAAUGGAUAGUGUAGCGGUGAAAUGCAUAGAUAUUAUCCAGAACACCAAUUGCGUAGGCAAGUUACUAAGUCUCAACUGACGCUGAGGCACGAAAGUGUGGGUAUCAAACA
rnacentral:rRNA from 1 species